rnacentral:rRNA from 1 species
UACGAAGGGGGCUAGCGUUGCUCGGAAUCACUGGGCGUAAAGGGUGCGUAGGCGGACCUGCAAGUCGGGGGUGAAAGCCCGAGGCUCAACCUCGGAACUGCCUUCGAUACUGCGGGUCUCGAGUCCGGGAGAGGUGAGUGGAAUUCCUAGUGUAGAGGUGAAAUUCGUAGAUAUUAGGAAGAACACCAGUGGCGAAGGCGGCUCACUGGCCCGGUACUGACGCUGAGGCGCGAAAGCGCGGGGAGCAAACAGG